AGGAGGAACGAAAGAAAACCCAACCAAAGUACUGUCUAUGGAUAAUGUAAGAAUUGUUGGGUGUAUAUGUGAGUAUUGGAAUGCCGAGGGGGGGGGGGCAUGGGGUUGUGCACCCCCUUGUGGUGUCUAGCCACUCCCCUUCCCUCUAGAGAAGUCCAGCUGACUCCAGCACCAGUGGCGUAGGAAACUCGAUAAUUGGGGGGGGGGGCAAUAUUUAUAUAUUCGUGUUCACAUUUGCUCGUUCAGCACCACCCCAAAAAAUCGCCAGGCGAUUGUGCUACUUUUGAAGCUCAAUGCCGCUAUUUCGCUAAGGCAAUCUUUCAAUUGAAAGGGCACCUUUGCCCCUGCCCCCCCAGUUCCGGCGUCUCUGACCACAGCGUUGUGACUGCGGCUAUUUCUUCUAACUAACCCCUGGAUUACCUUGCAACAUUUCCAGUUAAGUUGACAAGUUAGACACUAUAGUUUAUUAUUAUAAGUUUGAC